rnacentral:rRNA from 1 species
UACAGAGGGUGCGAGCGUUAAUCGGAAUUACUGGGCGUAAAGCGUGCGUAGACGGUCAAGUAAGUCGGGUGUGAAAGCCCCGGGCUCAACCUGUGAAUUGCAUUCGAGACUGCGUGGCUAGGGUGCGGAAGAGGGAAGCGGAAUUUCCGGUGUAGCGGUGAAAUGCGUAGAUAUCGGAAGGAACACCAGUGGCGAAAGCGGCUUCCUGGUCCAGCACCGACGUUCAGGCACGAAAGCGUGGGGAGCAAACAGG